rnacentral:rRNA from 1 species
UCCGUAGGGGGUCUGCCAAGUCUGAUGUGAAAUCCCGCGGCUCAACUGCGGAACGGCAUUGGAUACUGGCGGGCUGGAGUCUGCGAGGGGUGAGCGGAAUUCCUGGUGUAGCGGUGGAAUGCGUAGAUAUCAGGAAGAACACCGAUGGCGAAGGCGGCUCACUGGCGCAGUACUGACCCUGAGGGACGAAAGCGUGGGGAGCAAACAG